rnacentral:rRNA from 1 species
AGUUCGAUCCUGGCUCAGAUUGAACGCUGGCGGUCUUUACACAUGCAAGUCGAACGGCAGCACGGACUUCGGUCUGGUGGCGAGUGGCGAACGGGUGAGUAAUGUAUCGGAACGUGCUAAGUAGCGGGGGAUAACUACGCGAAAGCGUAGCUAAUACCGCAUACGCCCUUCGGGGGAAAGCGGGGACCUUCCCGGGCCUCGCACUAUUAAACGGCCGAUAUCGGAUUAGCUAGUUGGUGGGGUAACGGCUCACCAAGGCGACGAUCCGUAGCUGGUUUGAGGACGACCAGCCACACUGGGACUGAGACACGGCCCAGACUCCUACCGGGAGGCAGCAGUGGGGAAUUUUGGACAGUGGAAACCUGAUCCAGCCAUCCCGCGUGUGCGAUGAAGGCCUUCGGGUUGUAAAGCACUUUUGGCAGGGGAAAGAAACGGCACGGGAUAAUACCCCCGUGCAACUGACAACACCUGCAGAAUAAGCACCGGCUAACUACGUGCCAGCAGCCGCGGUAAUACGUAGAGGGUGCAAGCGUUAAUCGGAAUUACUGGGCGUAAAGCGUGCGCAGGCGGUUCGGAAGAAGAUGUAGAAUCCCAGAGCUUAACUUUGGAACUGCAUUUUUAACUACCGAGCUAGAGUGUGUGUCAGGGAGGUGGAAUUCCGCGUGUAGCAGUGAAAUGCGUAGAUAUGCGGAGGAACACCGAUGGCGAAAGAGCAGCCUCCUGGGAUAACACUGACGCUCAUGCACGAAAGCGUGGGGAGCAAACAGGAUUAGAUACCCUGGUAGUCCCGCCCUAAACGAUGUCAACUAGCUGUUGGGGCCUUCGGGCCUUGGUAGCGCAACUAACGCGUGAAGUUGACCGCCGCAGAGUACGGUCGCAAGAUUAAAACUCAAAGGAAUUGACGGGGACCCGCACAAGCGGUGGAUGAUGUGGAUUAAUUCGAUGCAACGCGAAAAACCUUACCUACCCUUGACAUGUCUGGAAUCGAAGAGAUUUGGGAGUGCUCGCAAGAGAACCGGAACACAGGUGCUGCAUGGCUGUCGUCAGCUCGUGUCGUGAGAUGUUGGGUUAAGUCCCGCAACAGGCGCAACCCUUGUCAUUAGUUGCUACGAAAGGGCACUCUAAUGAGACUGCCGGUGACAAACCGGAGGAAGGUGGGGAUGACGUCAAGUCCUCAUGGCCCAUAUGGGUAGGGCUUCACGUCAUACAAUGGUCGGGACAGAGGGUCGCCAACCCGCGAGGGGGCCAAUCCCAGAAACCCGAUCGUAGUCCCGGAUCGCAGUCUGCAACUCGACUGCGUGAAGUCGGAAUCGCUAGUAAUCGCGGAUCAGCAUGUCGCGGUGAAUACGUUCCCGGGUCUUGUACACACCGCCCGUCACACCAUGGGAGUGGGUUUUACCAGAAGUAGUUAGCCUAACCGUAAGGAGGGCGAUUACCACGGUAGGAUUCAUGACUGGGGUGAAGUCGUAACAAGGUAG